AGCUUUAUUGGAGCAAAAGCAACAACGUUUUGACCCUGCUGGGUUUUUAUCAAGCUUAAUAAAGACCCAAUAGAGUCAAAACAUUGCUGCUUUUGCCCCAAUAAAGCU